AAGGGGGGGGACUUACGAGUCUACAACUCAUCAACCCUGUGAACAUACCUAAAACGUUGCUUCGGCGGGAACAGACGGCCCCGUAACACGGGCCGCCCCCGCCAGAGGACCCCUAACUCUGUUUAUAUUAUGUUUUUUCUGAGUAAACAAGCAAAUAAAUUAAAACUUUCAACAACGGAUCUCUUGGCUCUGGCAUCGAUGAAGAACGCAGCGAAAUGCGAUAAGUAAUGUGAAUUGCAGAAUUCAGUGAAUCAUCGAAUCUUUGAACGCACAUUGCGCCCGCCAGUAUUCUGGCGGGCAUGCCUGUUCGAGCGUCAUUACAACCCUCAGGCCCCCGGGCCUGGCGUUGGGGAUCGGCGGAAAGCCCCCUGUGGGCAUACGCCGUCCCCUAAAUACAGUGGCGGUCCCGCCGCAGCUUCCAUUGCGUAGUAGCUAACACCUCGCAACUGGAGAGCGGCGCGGCCAAGCCGUAAAACCCCCAUGUUCUGAAAGUUGACCUCACAUCAGGUAGAAAUACCCGCUGAAUAUAAGCGUAUAAAUAAGCGACG
rnacentral:rRNA from 1 species